CCUACGGGAGGCAGCAGUGAGGAAUAUUGGUCAAUGGGCGUAAGCCUGAACCAGCCAAGUCGCGUGAGGGAUGAAGGCCCUAUGGAUCGUAAACCUCUUUUAUAAGGGAAUAAAGUGUGGGACGUGUCCUGUUUUGUAUGUACCUUAUGAAUAAGGAUCGGCUAACUCCGUGCCAGCAGCCGCGGUAAUACGGAGGAUCCGAGCGUUAUCCGGAUUUAUUGGGUUUAAAGGGUGCGUAGGCGGCUUGUUAAGUCAGCUGUGAAAGUCUGCGGCUCAACCAUAAAAUUGCAGUUGAAACUGGUAGGCUGGAGUAGUGUUGAGGCAGGCGGAAUUCGUGGUGUAGCGGUGAAAUGCUUAGAUAUCACGAAGAACCCCGAUUGCGAAGGCAGCCUGCCAAACUACGACUGACGCUGAUGCACGAAAGCGUGGGGAUCAAACAGGAUUAGAUACCCUAGUAGUC
rnacentral:rRNA from 1 species